rfam:Alligator mississippiensis ScZkoYb_152, whole genome shotgun sequence.
UCCGCUCCUGAUUGUCCAAACGCAAUUCUUGUGCCGUGGAAACGUACAAACCAAGAAUUGUGUCUGGACAUCUGUGGCGGG